rnacentral:lncRNA from 1 species
GUUCACAGACCGUGAAGAAGCUCCACCCCAAACACAGAGGCACUGCUUGCUUUGGCCCCAAAACCCUGGUGCAGGACCUAGGGGACGUAGGGCGGCAGGACGAACAUUGGCCCGGCCCUCGCCUCCUCCUGUGACCCCGCAACCCCUCACCUCCCGCGGGGAGAAGAGGCGUAAGCAUAUUCUCUUGUCUUUCUGCCUUCCACAAUGGAAUGAGCAGCAAGAAGGCCUUCAGCAGAUGCAGUGCCCUUGAACGUGGCCUUCCCAGCCUCCAGAACUGUAACAAAUAAGUCUAUGUUCUUCGUAGAUUACCCAGUCUCAGGUAUUCUGUUAUAGCAACAUAAAGUGAACUAAGACAGAAGACAUGGAUCAAAUUCUCCCCUAGAACCUUCAGAGAGGGCAUAGCCCUGCUGACAUUUUGAUUUCAGACUUCUAGCCUCUAGAACAAGGGUUCCAACCCCUGGGCUGAGGACCAAUACCAGUCCAUGCCUUGUUAGGAACCGAGCUGCAAAGCAGGAGGUAAGUAGCAGGUGAAUGAGCAUUGCCUGAGCUCUGCAUCCUGUCGGAUCAGUGACAGCAUUUGAUUCUUUUGGGACCGUGAACCCUAUUGUGAACCGCACAUGCAAGGGAUCUAGGUUGCACACACCUCAUGAGAAUCUAACUAAUGCCUGAUGAUCUGAGGUGGAACAGUUUCAUCCCAAAACCAUCCCCCAGUCCCCACAUCUGUGGGAAAACUGUCUUCCAUGAAACUGGUCCCUGGUACCAGAAAGGUUGAGGACUGCUGCUCUAGAACCAUGAGAGAACACAUUUCUGUUCUUUUAAGCCACCAGUUUGUGUACUUUGUCACCAUUGCCUUAGGAAGCUGACAUACUCCUCAAGGAGGUGGAACAUAACUCCCACACUUAAGGAGUGGGCAUAGUGACUUCCUUCCAAAAAGAACACUGUGGAAAGGGCGAAAAAAAAGUAACUUUACAGUAGCGAAACCUGAUGAAGCCAGGUGACCAAACUCAACAUCAACAGUGAUGACUCAUGUUGAUUGUAUGUACCUUGAUAUGAUGUGAUGAAUAUGUGGUCUUCCUCCCAAAAACCUAUAACCACCAGCCAGGCACGGUGGAUCACGCCCUGUAAUCCCAGCACUUUGGGAGGCCAAGGCAGGUGGAUCAUCUGAGGUCAGGAGUUCGAGACCAGCCCGGCCAACGUGGUGAAACCCUGUCUCUACUAAAAAUGCAAAAAUUAGCUGGGUGUGGUGGCGGGAGCCUGUAAUCCCAGCUACUCAGGAGGCUGAGGUAGGAGGUUGCAGUGAGCCAAGAUCCCGCCACUGCACUCCAG